rnacentral:rRNA from 1 species
ACUCCUACGGGAGGCAGCAGUGGGGAAUAUUGCACAAUGGGGGAAACCCUGAUGCAGCCAUGCCGCGUGUGUGAAGAAGGCCUUCGGGUUGUAAAGCACUUUCAGUAGGGAGGAAGGUAGUGUAGUUAACACCUGCAUUAUUUGUACGUUACCUACAGAAGAAGCACCGGCUAACUCCGUGCCAGCAGCCGCGGUAAGUACGGAGGGUGCGAGCGUUAAUCGGAAUUACUGGGCGUAAAGCGCAUGCAGGCGGCCUGUUAAGUCAGAUGUGAAAGCCCGGGGUCUUAACCUCGGAAUUGCAUUUGAAACUGGCGAGGCUAGAGUCUUGUAGAGGGGUUAGAAUUUCAGGUGUAGCGGUGAAAUGCGUAGAGAUCUGAAGG